AAGUCGUAACAAGGUUUCCGUAGGUGAACCUGCGGAAGGAUCAUUAAUACGUUUGUAACAAAACGUUUAAACCCAAAUGAAUCGUGAACUAGUGUCUUACGGGUUUGCAUUUGUGAGACUUGGCAACGAGUCUUGAAAAGGAGCUUUUUGGGCCUUUAUGGUUCAAACAUCUCAGUGUAGAGCAGUGAGGUGAAACUCGAAAGAGUUUGGUUCUGAAAAACAUUUGUAUCCGGUUAUCAAAUCUGUUCUACCAAAUUAUCAAACAAUAAACCCCAUGUACAACAACUUGAACUAAACAUUUUUUUGUUUGUCUGCUUCGCAGCAGAUGCGCAAAGAAAAAACCUGAACUUAAGAACAACUCUUAACAACGGAUAUCUUGGUUCUC
rnacentral:misc_RNA from 1 species